GAUGAACGCUGGCGGCGUGCUUAACACAUGCAAGUCGAACGAAGCACUUUAUUUGAUUUCCUUCGGGACUGAUUAUUUUGUGACUGAGUGGCGGACGGGUGAGUAACGCGUGGGUAACCUGCCUUGUACAGGGGGAUAACAGUUGGAAACGGCUGCUAAUACCGCAUAAGCGCACAGCAUCGCAUGAUGCAGUGUGAAAAACUCCGGUGGUAUAAGAUGGACCCGCGUUGGAUUAGCUAGUUGGUGAGGUAACGGCCCACCAAGGCGACGAUCCAUAGCCGAGCUGAGAGGGUGACCGGACAGAUUGGGACUGAGACACGGCCUAAACUCCUACGGGAGGCAGCAGUGGGGAAUAUUGCACAAUGGGCGAAAGCGUGAUGCAGCGGCGCCGGGUGAGCGAAGAAGUAUUUCGGAAUGUAAAGCUCUAUCAGCAGGGAAGAUAAUGACGGUACCUGACAAAGAAGCACCGGCUAAAUACGUG
rnacentral:rRNA from 1 species